rnacentral:rRNA from 1 species
GAUGAACGCUGGCGGCGUGCCUAAUACAUGCAAGUCGAGCGAACGGACGAGAAGCUUGCUUCUCUGAUGUUAGCGGCGGACGGGUGAGUAACACGUGGAUAACCUACCUAUAAGACUGGGAUAACUUCGGGAAACCGGAGCUAGUACCGGAUAAUAUUUUGAACCGCAUGGUUCAAAAGUGAAAGACGGUCUUGCUGUCACUUAUAGAUGGAUCCGCGCUGCAUUAGCUAGUUGGUAAGGUAACGGCUUACCAAGGCAACGAUGCAUAGCCGACCUGAGAGGGUGAUCGGCCACACUGGAACUGAGACACGGUCCAGACUCCUACGGGAGGCAGCAGUAGGGAAUCUUCCGCAAUGGGCGAAAGCCUGACGGAGCAACGCCGCGUGAGUGAUGAAGGUCUUCGGAUCGUAAAACUCUGUUAUUAGGGAAGAACAUAUGUGUAAGUAACUGUGCACAUCUUGACGGCACCUAAUCAGAAAGCCACGGCUAACUACGUG